GGGCAAACUCGAUCACCAACUCUGCACGUUGUUGCAGAAGUGAGGGGAACAAGAUUUGCUAAAGUAAUUGUAGUGAUAGACAUGUGUUAACCUCAGAAGCUACUAAGGUGGUAUAUUCUAUACAGUGUAAAAAA